rnacentral:rRNA from 1 species
UAAGGAAUAUUGCUCAAUGGGAGAAAUCCUGAAGCAGCAACGCCGCGUGGAGGAUGAAGGGUCUAUGACUUGUAAACUCCUGUAAAGAAGGAAAAAAUUCCCAUUUGAUGGGAGAUGAUGGUACUUCUGGAGUAAGCCCCGGCUAACUACGUGCCAGCAGCCGCGGUAAUACGUAGGGGGCAAGCGUUGUCCGGAUUUACUGGGUGUAAAGGGUGCUCAGGCGGAUUUGUAAGUCAGAGGUGAAAUCUUACAGCUUAACUGUGAAACUGCCUUUGAUGCUGCAAGCCUAGAGUAUGGAAGAGAGUGAUGGAAUAUCUGGUGUAGCAGUGAAAUGCGUAGAUAUCAGAUAGAACACCAAUGGCGAAGGCAGUCACUUGGUCCAUUACUGACGCUAAAGCACGAAAGCGUGGGUAGCAAACA